CACAGUCACACUCCAGCAUAGUAGGUGGCGGUAAUGCACCUUAAACGUUAGGUGCCACCCGCCAUUAAACACAAAGAAGAAGAAGUUGCGAUUUCUGCACUUUUGCAGAUGUGAAGGGCGAGGACGAGAGGCAUACAAGAACUCUUGGAGCAAAGCGACAAAGACUGAGGACACUGAGGGACAGAGGAGACACUCAUCUUCAGUGAGACAGGCAGCGGCAGAGAGACAGGAAGAUGAGAAGAGCCGCCGAGGACCCGAGCACGCUCUGUCUGUUUGACGUUGACGGGACGCUCACAGCCGCGAGACAGCGUGCCACUCCACACAUGUCAGAUUUCCUUGAGAAGCUAAAGACUCGGGUUCGAGUCGGAGUGGUAGGAGGGUCGGACCUUUGUAAGAUCAAAGAGCAGUUAGGAGAAGAUGUGAUCCAGAAAGUGGACUACUUGUUUGCUGAGAAUGGUCUUGUGGCCUAUAAGGAUGGACAGUUGCUCUGUAUCCAGUCUAUUCAGGCGCACAUGGGAGAAGAGUUGCUCCAGGAUUUCAUUAACUUCUGUCUCAACUACAUGGCCAAGAUCAAACUGCCUAAGAAGAGGGGGACAUUCAUUGAAUUCCGUAACGGCAUGUUAAACGUCUCCCCUAUUGGGCGCAGCUGUACCCCGGAAGAGAGGAAGGAGUUCUACGAGCUGGAUCAGAAGGAGAAAAUCAGAGAGAAGUUUGUGUCAAUAUUAAAGGAAGAAUUCAAAGGAAAAGGACUGUCAUUUUCAAUCGGUGAGUCAAGUCCAAUUGCAGUCCAGUGUUGGUUUGGAAACGCGCCAUUAGAGUGUAGGAACAGAGCAUUAGGUCAGGGUCAGUGUGGUGUCACCGUCUUCCUGCCUCUCGUCCUCUUCUGCGUACAGGAGGCCAGAUCAGCUUUGAUGUCUUUCCUGACGGCUGGGAUAAGACAUUCUGUCUGAGGUUUGUUGAGGAGGACUUCUCAACCAUCCACUUCUUUGGGGACAAGACCAAACCUGGAGAAAACGACUACGAGAUCUACUGCGACCCUCGGACCAUGGGCCAUGGAGUGUCCAGUCCAGAGGAGACUCAGCGACUGUGCCAGCAGCUCUUCUUCUCGUGAGACUAUGAAGAGUGUUGUACACACACUGAUACUGCAGGUCUUGUUUCAUCAUAUCUUAAGGUUUAAUCACAGAAAUAAUGAAUUGAAUGCAGCAGUGUCAUGUGUAUUAAUGUCGAGAGGAAAGACUAACGGACAUUCGGGUUGGGUUUUAAAUAAAGCUGUAUUGGUUGUAAUUGGGAUAUAAUGUUUUACAAUGUAUUGUUGGGGGAAUUGUAUCCAGAGUUGGGCUUGGCUUGUCAUCAUCAUGGUAAACAGUUACCCACUAAAUGUGUGCUUUUGCAGAGAUGUGCAAUCUCCCCAAUCGUGUUUUCGAUUGUUAAAGCAAACCUCAACAGGAAUCUGUUGUAUGUGUCAUUCUAUGUGAUGCAUGUCGUUACACAUGAUCAGGGAAGGUGCUAGACAGUAGAUCAAAGAUCACCUGAAAGCCCUGGGACACUCACAGAGGACUGAUUCCCUUCUGAUGAUCACAUGUCAUGGAACACACUGAGCCGGACCUCUCAUGUCUUCCCCUUGGCAUGUCUUCUUGUAGUGUCUCUGUCAGCCAUGUUUAGUAUCACUGCUCCAGUGUAUUCGCACACGCAGUCACCACAGUAUCCAGACGUCCUCCUGUAUGUCAGCGAAUAGCACAUACUAAUACUUUGAUGCAUAUGGUUGUCAGUAGAAGGCAUCACAUUUUGUAGGAAAUAUCACCAGACAAUGAAUUGAUGUCAUGGCCCCUGCAGGUAGAAACGUAUGAGAAUAUAUCUGUCAUGAAUGCCCUAUAAAAUGUGUGAACUUCUUUAUACACAGCACUUGAAUUAAGUUUAAACUGAAGAAGAUUCUACUGUAAAAGAUGUGGGAAAUAAAAGAAUCGACCCAUUCUGAAAAGUACAAUGUGUGGGGAGCCCCGCAGAAACGGGAUAUUAAUAAUUGUGUAAAUCAUUUUCAAAUGAAGCAAAAAAGGUUUGCACAGAAUACCUGAAAUAAAGACAUGAGCAGGAAAGGUACUCACAAA